rnacentral:rRNA from 1 species
CUACGGGUGGCAGCAGGCGAGAAACCUUUACAAUGCACGAAAGUGUGAUAAGGGGAUUCCAAGUGCUUAUGCUUAGCAUAAGCUUUUAUCAUAUGUAAAAAGUAUGGUGAAUAAGUGGUGGGCAAGACUGGUGCCAGCCGCCGCGGUAACACCAGCGCCACAAGUUGCAAUCACAUUUAUUGGGUCUAAAGCAUCCGUAGUCGGUUUUUUAAGUCUUUUGUGAAAUUGUUGUACUUAAUAUAACAACGUGCAAGAUAUACUAUUAAACUAGGGACUGGGAGGAGAUAGGAGUAUUCUUAGGGGAAUGGUAAAAUAUUAUAAUCCUUGGAGGACUACCAAUGGCGAAGGCACCUAUCUAGAACAGUUCUGACGAUGAGGGAUGAAAGCUAGGGGAGCAAAAGGGAUUAGAUACCCUAGUAGUC